UGCUCUUAGACUACGACGAUGUCAGUGAUAUACAGGAGUGUUUGUAUCUUUCUUUUGAUUAUUAGUUGCAGCUCUUCAUAUGUGUCAUAUAAGAAGACGGUGACAUCAAAAUCAGUACAAGUGAGUUCACCCCCAGUAACGACUGUUACAGAUGGCGAUGAUUUUGGAAAUUGUUUCAAAUCAGGGAAUUCAUAUCAAGAAUGGAUAAAAAUCGACAUGGACAGAAAUUAU